CCUACGGGAGGCAGCAGUGAGGAAUAUUGGUCAAUGGGCGCGAGCCUGAACCAGCCAAGUCGCGUGAGGGAUGACGGCCCUACGGGUUGUAAACCUCUUUUGCCGGGGAGCAACGGGCUCCACGUGUGGCGCCACUUAUAGUACCCGGAGAAAAAGCAUCGGCUAACUCCGUGCCAGCAGCCGCGGUAAUACGGGGGAUGCGAGCGUUAUCCGGAUUUAUUGGGUUUAAAGGGUGCGUAGGCGGAUCGUUAAGUAAGUGGUAAAAUUGAGGGGCCCAACCCCUUCCCGCCAUUGAAACUGGCGCUCUUGAGUGGAAGAGAAGUAUGCGGAAUGCGUGGUGUAGCGGUGAAAUGCAUAGAUAUCACGCAGAACCCCGAUUGCGAAGGCAGCAUGCCGGCUUCCGACUGACGCUGAAGCACGAAAGCGUGGGGAUCGAACAGGAUUAGAUACCCUUGUAGUC
rnacentral:rRNA from 1 species